rnacentral:tRNA from 1 species
GGAGGGUUCGUCUAGCAGGAACAGGAUAGCGCGCUUUCAACGCGUUGACGCGGGUUCGAUCCCCGCACCCUCUG